AGAAAUUGUUCUCCUAGUGUCCCAAAUGUUGCUAAUCUUUGCUCCAUAUCAUAUAUUUGAUUCCCUCACUUCCACAGGUGCUGCAGUGUUACGAGGAGUGGGAAAGCAAAAGUUUGGUGCAGUUAUAAUCACAGUUGGAUUUAAUGGCAUUGGUUUGCCAGAUGGAAUCGUAUUAAUGUUUGCUGGAAAGCUUGGUGUAAUAGGAUUGUGGUCUGGAAUUGCUGCAGGUCUCAUUGUUCAAGCCAUCGCUUUUUUAGUAUUUAUUUUACAUUUGAAUUGGGACAAAGCACUUGAUGAGGCUCAGGACCGAGCAGGACUGAAACCAACUUCCAAGAAAAUGUACUUUGGUUCGACUACUCCAAAAAUAGAAAGCAGAUUUACUGACCCAGAAAAAAAUGGCGGGUAUUGUAUCAUUCCAGAUGAUGACUAUGUUGAAAUGUAUACCCGUAUGUCAGAGUGGGAAGAAGAUUCCAUAAAGGAUACUCAAAACACUUUAGCACAGGAGAAAGAUUCCAUUACUGGGGCAAGAAAUGUUGUUGGAGAAGUUCUUUCUACGAAGCAAUUGAUUGUUUGGCGUGGGAUUGCUAUGGUUUCAGCUGUGAUUACACUGAUUAUCG